rnacentral:tRNA from 1 species
GGUAGGGUGGCUGAGUGUAUUAGCGUUGGGCUGUAGUCCCUAUUUACAGAGGUUUAAUUCCUCUUCCUAUCA